rnacentral:snRNA from 1 species
GGGAAGGUGAGCUAGCUGCGACAUCUGUCACCCCACUAAUUGGCUGGGAUGAUUUGGCUUAUGUGGCAGGACAGAACAGAAGACAACCCCCAAUAGAGGAGGACCGUUUCCAUGGUCAAGGGUAUACAAGUAGCUAUACCCCUCUGCUAGAACCUCUGAACAAGCUCUCAAAAUAAAAAAUAAAAAGGGCCGCGGAUAUAGAUCAGUGGCCGUAACACCUCUGGGUUCGAUUCUC